rnacentral:rRNA from 1 species
AUUGAACGCUGGAGGCAGGCCUAACACAUGCAAGUCGAGCGGAGCGGCGGACGGGUGAGUAAUGCUUAGGAAUCUGCCUGGUCGUGGGGGAUAACGUCCGGAAACGGGCGCUAAUACUGCAUACUAUCAGAUGAGCCUAGGUCGGUUUAGCUAGGUGGUGGGGUAAAGGCCUACCAAGGCGACUAUCCGUAACUGGUCUGAGAGGAUGAUCAGUCACACUGGAACUGAGACACGGUCCAGACUCCUACGGGAGGCAGCAGUGGGGAAUAUUGGACAAUGGGCGAAAGCCUGAUCCAGCCAUGCCGCGUGUGUGAAGAAGGUCUUCGGAUUGUAAAGCACUUUAAGUUGGGAGGCGUUACCAACAGAAUAAGCACCGGCUAACUUCGUGCCAGCAGCCGCGGUAAUUC